UACGUAGGGGGCUAGCGUUGUCCGGAAUCAUUGGGCGUAAAGAGCGUGUAGGCGGCCCGGUAAGUCCGCUGUGAAAGUCAAAGGCUCAACCUUUGAAUGUCAGCGGAUACUGCCGGGCUAGAGUCCGGAAGAGGCGAGUGGAACUCCUGGUGUAGCGGUGGAAUGCGCAGAUAGUCAGGAAGAACACCAACGGCGAAGGCAGCUCGCUGGGACGGUACUGACGCUGAGACGCGAAAGCGUGGGGAGCGAACAGG
rnacentral:rRNA from 1 species